UAAACUGAAAGGGCACUUACGAGCCAGAAAGAACCUUAGUUAGGGUGCUCUGUACUGAUGCAACCGAAUCUAUGACAGACUUUGUCAGCCAGCUGAUCCCCACUUUAACCCGGUGCUCAUCUGUCGGUAAUCUAAUCAAGUAAGCUAUUUUCCUUCCAGCAUGACCAAAAGGACCCUCUAAGGUUAGUCCCUCAAUGAAGCUUGGAGAAACAGCCGCAUCGUUUCUUCCUAGAGUCAUCAUUUCACCUAGAUUCUGAAACCUAAAAGGCAACAGAGGACGGUCAUUGAUUGCUG
rnacentral:misc_RNA from 1 species